GAACCUAAAACCAAAUCCCCAACCGCCAUCAGAUCCAAAGGCUUAUACUUUGAAGGAUCGAAGAAACCGACAUCUACAGGCUGCACAAUCUUGACAACCUUAGAUGAAUCAACCCCACUUUGUACAAACGAAGAGACGUGAAAAUCAGUAGGAACCCAAACAUGAUCCAUUUGAUUACAUCGCUUCACAUGCUCUGGAUUGACUCUAUCAGUCUCAAACAUUGUUCUACCAAUCACAGAUAAGAAAUCUUCGUAGCCAGUUGGAGGACAAGGUAGAGUCUCAAACAAUGGUGGAUA